GAUGAACGCUGGCGGCGUUCCUAAUACAUGCAAGUCGAGCGAACAGAUUAGGAGCUUGCUCCUCUGACGUUAGCGACGGACGGGUGAGUAACACGUGGAUAACCUACCUAUAAGACUGGGAUAACUUCGGUAAACCUUAGCUAAUACCGGAUAAUAUAUUGAACCGCAUGGUUCAAUAGUUACAGUCGGUUUUGCUGUCACUUAUAUCUGUAUCCGCGCCGCAUUAGCUAUUUCGUAAGGUAACGGCUUACCAAGGCAACGAUGCGUAACCGACCUGAGAGGGUCAUCGGCCACCCCGGAAGUGAGACACGGUCCAGACUCCUACGGGAGGCAGCAGUAGCGAAUCUCCCGCAACGGGCGAAAGCCUGCCGGAGCAACGCCGCGUGAGUGAUGAAGGGCUUCGGAUCGUAAAACUCUGUUAUUAGGGCAGAACAAACGUGUAAGUAAAUAUGCCCGUCUCGACGGUCCCUAAUCAGAAAGCCACGGCUACCUCCGUG
rnacentral:rRNA from 1 species